UAAGGAGUUUUCGGCAAUGGGGGAAACCCUGACCGAGCAACGCCGCGUGAGUGAUGAAGGUCCUAUGGAUUGUAAAGCUCUGUUGUAAGCCAUGAAUGGUAGCUCUAGGAAAUGAGAGUUACUUGACGACAGCUUACCAGAAAGCCACGGCUAACUACGUGCCAGCAGCCGCGGUAAUACGUAGGUGGCAAGCGUUAUCCGGAAUUAUUGGGCGUAAAGAGUGAGCAGGCGGCUGAAUAAGUCUGAAGUCAAAUCGUGGGGCUCAACCCCAUUUCGCUUUGGAAACUGUUUGGCUAGAGUACGGCAGAAGUGAAGGGAACUCCAUGUGUAGCGGUGAAAUGCGUAGAUAUAUGGAAGAACACCAGUGGCGAAGGCGCUUCACUAGGCCGAAACUGACGCUCAGUCACGAAAGCGUGGGUAGCAAAUAGG
rnacentral:rRNA from 2 species